rnacentral:rRNA from 1 species
UUUAAAGAGAGUUUGAUCCUGGCUCAGGACGAACGCUGGCGGCGUGCCUAAUACAUGCAAGUCGAACGAACGGAGGAAGAGCUUGCUCUUCCAAAGUUAGUGGCGGACGGGUGAGUAACACGUGGGCAACCUGCCUGUAAGUUGGGGAUAACUCCGGGAAACCGGGGCUAAUACCGAAUGAUAAAGUGUGGCGCAUGCCACGCUUUUGAAA